CUUGUGAAUGUCCCCACGCACGUAUUGCCAGCCUUCAGCCGUUCGAUCAGCGUCAGCCAGAUGUCUUUGACCAGCGGGGACGAGAUCGUCGCCUGAAGCCGUCGAGAGAGGUUCAGGAGCGUGUCCUGUUUCGCCGGGUCCAAGGUCAUCAGGCCGUCCUCGAUCCUCCCCCAUGCCGUUUGACGACUCUCCGUUUCAGCCAGUCGGAUGGCAUUGACGAAAAGGGAUAUGCCCAGGGCCGCAGCCUGCUCCGCCGGGUCCUCACUGUGGU
rnacentral:rRNA from 1 species